AGGAACUCUGAGUCAUUUCACUAAAGCCUAUAGAUCGUCAGCUGAGAGUACUGAGAAUGAAGUCAUUCUAGUGGACGGACGGACUGGGGUGGACUGACCUCUGACAACCAAUUCUUAAGAAGUACUUCUAUCUUUAGGCCUGCCGUCCACAUACGAACUCUCGAUAACUUUCAAGAGCCAGGUGAGAAGAGGGCAGUGUUAUACUAGGAGAAACACUUGGAGAUAUGCCAGGUGCUUUUCUGUGUGAUUUGCAGGAAAUUCUCCCACCAGAGACCCGUAUUAUGCCUGGCAUACAGGAGGCAUUCAGAACAUUUGAUGACUAGAAGUGUGUGUCCAUCUCAAUGACACAGGUCUCUAAAACCCUUGCUGCCAGUGUUUGGACCAAGAGGCUGGCAGCUAUGAUGGGAGCUCUGGUAGAAGAGAUCCCUGUCCCAACACCAUUGUCCCAUGUUUCCUGGCUCUCCACCGGCAGAAGCCUUAAACAUUGAGCAACAUUUUGGCUUGGAGAAAAACUAAGUGCAUACUUGCCUAUAUUCCAAAACCAAGAUGACGUAUACUUCCAAUUGAACAGAUGUGGUCAGCCGUUGAUUGGACCCAGAAGAGAAGAAAUUAAAAGCAUCCAAAACAACACUAAGUAGGAA